rnacentral:rRNA from 1 species
UUCCCCUAGUAACGGCGAGUGAAGAGGGAAAAGCCCAAAAUUGUAAUCUGGCUCUUUCAGAGCCCGAGUUGUAAUUUUAAGAACUGUUUUCAGUGCUGGACCAUUUAUAAGUCUGCUGGAAGGCAGCAUCAUUGAGGGUGAUAAUCCCGUUCAUGAUAUGGACUACCAGUGCAAUAUGAUACAGUUUCCAAGAGUCGAGUUGUUUGGGAAUGCAGCUCAAAGUGGGUGGUAAAUUCCAUCUAAGGCUAAAUACUGGUGAGAGACCGAUAGCAUACAAGUACCGUGAGGGAAAGAUGAAAAGAACUUUGAAAAGAGAGUUAACAGUACGUGAAAUUGCUAAAAGGGAAACACUUGAAGUUAGCCAUGCAAUGAUUUGGUUCAGCUCUUUUUCUAGGGUGUAUGCCAUUUUUUUUGCGGAUCAACAUCAAUUCUUGAGUGCUGGAUAAGGGUUAGAGGAAUGUAGCAGUCUCUGGCUGUGUUAUAGACUCUGACUUGGAUACAGUGCUUAGAAUUGAGGAAUGCAGUAAGCCUUUUACUGGGUGGGUCCUCUUGCAGGACCUUCUUACUGAGGAUGUUGAUGUAAUAGCUUCAAAUGACCCGUCUUGAAACACGGACCAAGGAGUCUAACAUGCUUGCGAGUAUUUGGGUGUUGAAACCCUUAUGCGUAAUGAAAGUAAAUGUAAAUGGGAUCCUGUCAAAAGGUGCACCAUUGACCAGUCCUGAUUAUUUAUAUGACGGUACUGAGUAAGAGCAAGUAUGUUGGGACCCGAAAGAUGGUGAACUAUGCCUGAAUAGGGUGAAGCCAGAGGAAACUCUGGUGGAAGCUCGUAGCGGUUCUGACGUGCAAAUCGAUCGUCAAAUUUGGGUAUAGGGGCGAAAGACUAAUCGAACCAUCUAGUAGCUGGUUCCUGCCG